UACGUAGGGUGCAAGCGUUGUCCGGAUUUAUUGGGUUUAAAGGGUGCGUAGGCGGUCCUAUAAGUCAGUGCUGAAAUAUCCCGGCUUAACCGGGAGGGUGGCAUUGAAACUGAUGGACUUGAGUAAAGUUGAGGUAGGCGGAAUUGACGGUGUAGCGGUGAAAUGCUUAGAUAUCGUCAAGAACACCGAUAGUGUAGACAGCUUACUAAGCUUUAACUGACGCUGAGGCACGAAAGUGUGGGGAUCAAACAGG
rnacentral:rRNA from 1 species